GACGAACGCUGGCGGCGUGCCUAAUACAUGCAAGUCGAACGCAGGGGGGACGGGUGAGUAACACGUGGGUAACCUCCCAUCAGAGGGGAUAACACUUGGAAACAGGUGCUAAACCGAUACUGAUAGAUGGACCCGCGGUGCAUUAGCUAGGUGGUGAGGUAACGGCCCACCAAGGCCACGAUGCAUACCCGGCGUGAGGGGGGGAUCGGCCACACUGUGACUUGGACACGGCCCAGACUCCUACGGGAGGCAGCAGUAGGGAAUCUUCGGCAAUGGACGAAAGUCUGACCGAGCAACGCCGCGUGAGUGAUGACGGCCUUCGGGUUUUAAAGCUCUGUUAAUCGGGACGCGGUACCGGAAUAGAAAGCCACGGCUAACUACGUGCCAGCAGCCGCGGUAAUUC
rnacentral:rRNA from 1 species